rnacentral:rRNA from 1 species
UACGAAGGGGGCUAGCGUUGCUCGGAAUUACUGGGCGUAAAGGGCGCGUAGGCGGACAGUUUAGUCAGAGGUUAAAGCCCAGGGCUCAACCUUGGAAUCGCCUUUGAUACUGGCUGUCUUGAGUACGGGAGAGGUGUGUGGAACUCCGAGUGUAGAGGUGAAAUUCGUAGAUAUUCGGAAGAACACCAGUGGCGAAGGCGACACACUGGCCCGUUACUGACGCUGAGGCGCGAAAGCGUGGGGAGCAAACAGGAUUAGAACCG